rnacentral:lncRNA from 1 species
GUGGUAAACAAUUUAUUUUAACAUGAUUAGGGUUGUAAAUUUUGGUUUUUGACAUGAGUAGGUGGUAAAUAUUUUAUUUGUUUAUCUUAGAUGAACACGGUUGUGCCAAAUAGUUGAAAGAUGAAUCUCUUAUAAGAAUCUAACUAGAGUUUAAUUUGCACCAAGUAUUUUUUUUCAUUUUAUAAAUAUAUAAUUUUGAGAUUAUAUUAAGAUUUUAAAUAUAUGAUUAACAUUCUAGUGUUAUAUAUUGUAUAA